CUGGCUGCAGGAACCACAAGUUCCAGACUAGGUCGGAAUUCCGAAUAAUCACAGUCAAAAUCCACCCAGAUACUCUCACACGCCCAGCCGCGCGCGCAUCCCGGGGCCGCGGGGCACACGUGAGCCCACGCCCCGCGCGCCCGUCCCUGCCUCCUGCCGGAGCAUCCUCGGCUUGGGCGGCAGACGCAGCCGCCGCCGCCUCCUCCUCCUCUCGCCACCGCCUACACCGUCUCCUCUCCCCUCUCGUCCUCCUUCCUCCCCCAGUUCCUGCUCCUCCUCCCGUCCUCGGCGGCGAAGGGCAGAACCCUCAGCAGCGGCUGCCUGCGCUUGGGCCGCCAAGAGCCUGGAACAGCAUUACAGGGCCACGGUGAUGGCAAGCUCAGCUUCCUGUAAGGAAGGAUGGAGGUGGAUAGGAGGAGGAAACACGUAAAGGUAACAACAUAAAAAUAAAAAGUAGUAUAAGCACUAGAGCUGACGGCCAUG
rnacentral:lncRNA from 1 species